CUCCCUACAGGCACCCUCGCUUCUUUGUGUGAGCACCGCCUGCAGCGCAGUGCAACAUCCCCUCCGCAGCCUUGUGCCUUAGUGAAGAAACUACCCCAAAUAGUUUCUUGCUGCAUCAUGCUGUGCUGCGUGCUUUCUGGUGGUGACCCUGACCUUUGCUGGGAUGGUAGUUAAAACAUUUAUGUGACAGAAGACGUUUUCUGUGUAUGACUUCAAAAAACAAGGGGAAAGCAUCUGACAUCAAACAACACCGUCAGUGCUGCUGACAUCAGGCACUGAGUUACACCGUCUGGGCUGCAGAGAUGCGAUUAAUCUUGUUUGCUGUUAACCAGGUGAACGCAGUCAGGAGCACAACAGUGAGCAAGCUGAAGAUUAGGGAGGAAUAUGAAGAAAAUUUGGAAGGUUUGAGUUUUUGAAAACUAAUAUUUCAUCUGGACUGGAGAGCAUCUGAGUGAGGACCUGAAGGAAGGAUUCCUGCCCAGCAUAAGUGGUGCCACAUUUAUCCAGUAGCAUCCUGACCUAUUCCCAUAGAGAAGGAAAUGAGACAAGUCAGUGGAAGAUGUAUAGAGGGACAUUUGCCAGCUUCCAACAACCCUCCUGAUUGGUUCAGGAGCACAGUGAAGAGGUGAGAGCAUAGCAAAGAGGUGAGGCUGUGGCUGGGCCUGGACAGGGAGUGCAGAGUGCCUCAGCCUGGGAAAGAGUCACAGGUGAGUAGCUUAGCACAUUAGUCACUCACUUAAUGCUAAGCAUUGCAAAACAGUGCUUUAAACCUGCAGCUGAAGUGCAGUAGUUGGAAGCAGGUGCAUUGUUCUCCUGGAACGCUUUUCUCAUCAGUUAUUUGUUCAGCACUCAGACAGGUCUUCAGAAGAAAGCGGCUCAGAGCUGACUCCAGGUGAGUCAUCCUGUGUGGAAAUUAAGGAUCCAAACUUUUAAAUUGUGUCAAGUCAUUUCUUGCAUUUAAAGGUAAAUUAAGCAGGUAAAGCUCCCCAGAAAUCAGUGAAGCAGUGCUCUGCUGUUGCUCCAGCAUUAGACCUCCUCGGUGCAUCACUGCCAUAGAAGUCACAUGUGACGGGUAACUGUGCACUAAGCCACACAAACUCUGUGUUGUUUAUGGUGUUGGCAAACAGCAGCACAGGACUGCACACUUCAAUAGGUUGUGCUCAGAAGCCUAAAAGGCUGCACGUAAUUUGACUGUGUUUUGACAAGCUGUACUAACAUUGGUGGUGGUUGGCUCAGGUAGGAGCUCCCCAAAGACUGAAUUGCAGUGUCACUGAUAAAUGAGAGCAAGAAACCUGAAUUAAGGUUAAGCUUAGGUCCCCCCACUUGCACAGAAGGGGUCUAAAGGUUUCCCAUGACUAUCUAUGGAUGCUUUUUUUGAUCUCUUGGUGCAAACUGGCUGAUCAGUGUCCCCUUCCUGGCUGCUGUUUGGAGAGGAGCAGCUGCCACACAUCAGGUGCCUGUGCUGUGAUGUUAGCUGUGAUUUCACCUCAUCCUUUGACCUUUCCCACUACCAGAAUCUUUUAAAAGUGAAAUUGUGUAGCAGCUUCUUAAUCCAUACUUUGUAAUAGGCUUCUUCUCUACAUUCUGUGGUAUGUGUUCCUCUCAGGUGUGGUGUUCUACAGUUCAGGUUCUGAAAUAGUAAGCUUAUUGUAUAGUUAACAUAAAACUGGUGUUUAGUUGCUGCAGAUUUCUUAUUUUUUAAUUAUAAAUCAAGUUGUUUAUUUAAUCUCUUUGCUUCAAGUAAGUUUGGCUUUUUGGUAGCUCUCCAACCCAAACUGUUAUUUGAAGACUGAGACAACAUUCCUGGCAAGACUGGAACUUAGAAAGAAGUAAGGGGCCAAGAUGGCUCAACUCUUUGGGAUAUAUUCAAACACAGCAGGUGAAUUACAAGAAGAAAUUAAAAGAACAAAAACUACACUGAGGAAAUCACUCCCUGCCAUGUUCUAUACCAACAUCCAAUGCACAGCUAAUACCAACUGUAUCAACUGUCAUCCAUUUCCUUUGGGUACUGAAUGAAUGAGUACAAUGUCCUCCGUUUAUUAUGGAAUUAUUAUAGAAUUAUUAUUCUCUUGCUGUAUAAAUCAUACAGCACGUUUAGUGCAGACAAGUAGAGAUGCUGUAAUCUGCAUACAGUAAGCAGCUAUGAGAGAUUAAUUUCACAUGUGUGGACAAGCCUCUGAGGAGUGCAGUGCACUCACUGCAGGAGUAAAAGUAGCUGUUAGUUCUAACAAGGGAUUCAAUUUAAAAAAAUCAUGCACGUCUAGAAGCCAAGCAAGGAGAGCAAUUGUGCAGAUUACUUACUAAUUACUAACAAAUGUGCAAGCACUUAAAGUUAUAAAAAAAAGUAUAGCCAUUGGAAGCUGCCAAGACUUUCAGCAUCAUUCAUUUAAGGGCCAAUUCUGACAUACCCAGUUCAAACAACUGCUGUUUUGUCAUUCUUUCCAUCACUCACUCAAAAGCAGCUCUGGGUUUAUACAAGGCACUGUGUUUACUGCAAUGGAGAAGAUCAGGCAACAAAACGUCACAGAAGAUGCUUGAGUUUGAAACCUCACAUUUCUGCAGCUACUCCAAAGUUGGAGCAAUGCUGGUGCUCAGUGGAGAAGACCCUCAGCAUCUGUGCUGGCUGUUCAUUGCCUGGCUGAUGUCCAUCUUUGCUGGACUGAAUUUGUGGAAUUAUGUGCCUUACGAUUAACUUCAGCUGCACGGGCCAUGUGAGCAGUGUAAAUGAGAGUAUUACCUUGAUGCACACACAAAAAAUGACAUCUCUACUCUUGGAACUGAAAGAGAAAGUCAGAUUGUGUGUGCAUGUGAGGGGAGUAGCAAAUGGGACAAGGAUGAAUGCCAUCUCCUUGGUUCAUAAUGUGGUGCGUGCUUGGAGAAACCAGUGAGGGACAUCUGCAGUGCACUUUCCUGAGCAGGGAAGAGAGAGGUGCUUUUGUCUGCUGGUUUAACUGUGUGCACAGAAUGUAUCUGUAUUGUAUCUUACCUAUUUCAGAGAGCAGAUAGAAACAGAGAAUGAAUAUAUCUUGGUAGCCUGUUUCUUCUGAGCUGUAGCUGCUGCAUUUUUGGAAGUAUUGCACAGCUGUCCUGUAUCCAUUAUACAGCCUUACUGCUUUGAAUAAGUUCCUACUGAAUCUCCUGUCUGCCUCGUAUCAUUUUAUUUGCAUUUAUUAAAACUAGGAAAUGUGGAACUGAAAUAAAAAGGUUAUUUUGUUAGAGCCCGUAACAACUAAGCUACCUUUGUUUUCUUUGUGCAUUUGCAUUACUAGCCCCAGCUCUGUCUUCUGAUAGGCUUUUUUUAUAACAGUAGUGACUGGGAAAUCCACCAGCUUAUUUCACUAAAUCCCCAUUUUUUUCUUCCUUGUGGACACAGCACUAUUUUGGAAACUGGAAAAAAAAAAAAAAAAAAAAAACAGAACAUGGAGAUCUAACAGCAGACCUCUAUUUCCCUGUGCAUCCACAAUAUCCUGCUGUACCUUAAAGAAUCUGAUGACAGACUCACGCGGCCAGAGAUCAGAACUUGUCUGCUCAACUCCUAAAUCACAGUCUAUGGCCCAUCAGCAGAAAAAUAUGUUGGACUUUGUUCAGUUCUACUAUUGCUUCUGGCUUUAACCUCUCUCUAUAUAUAUUUGAACAUGUUGGACUACUCAAGUGCUAGUCAUCAGUUCUCCCAUUUUGUGGACUGUGUCAUUUCUGUUUGUGUUUCAGUAUCAUUUAUUUACGAAGAGGUGCUAUAUCACAUUGAUGUGGCAGAAUUGUAAGAAUCAGAUCUAUUAACACUGUUAACAGGUUGCAAGCUGCUCGUUGCCUGGUGUAGUUCUUGUCCUGUUUGUUUAUUUUGUAUGUAUCAGAUUUCUUGGGAUGUAUACAAUUUACCUUCAUAGAGGACAGUGAUUAACUUUUGCUUAAUAGCUAGAAUCAUAAUUCUGGGUUGCUGCUGAAGAAAAGUGAUCAAGUUGUAUGGUCUGAACACUGCAGAAGAACACCUGUGUGAGAUGGAGAUAAUGCAUGUGCAGAGCAUGUGAUGAGGUUUUUAGAUCAGUUUAGUUAGGACUGCAUGAUGUUUAAGUCAGACAUACGGAUACUUAAUUCUUCGUUGUCUUUUGCAUGACCAAGCUCUUAUAUCUUAGUGGAGUAGCAGUGAUCCUCUGCCCCUUGUCUCGCAUUUUCUUGCCAUUAAUUAACAGUUCACAUCAUCAGGGACGUCUCUUUCUGGAAGAUACAUGCAGCCUUUGAGUAUUUUUCCAGCCAUCAUUGUACUUAUUACACAUUUAGCUGUCUGCUAGAUACAGUUUCUGCUUUGGAAUAGCAACAGUAUUUUUUUAACAAACUUUCUGAAAGCAGGCUCAGAUGCACGUAAAAUUAUCUGUAAUUACGACAAAGUGCAGUUUGGACUGGAAUAUUCUUGGUAUGAUAACAGCAUUUUAUGCU